UCAGUUCAGAUUCUGACUCAGAAGUUGUCAUAAAAACACGGAGUAUGGAUGAGUUCAGCCUGGCCGAUACACUGCCAAUAACACCUCAGCAUACAAGCACGCCACAAGAAAGCAUUAACAACAAAAAAUCAUGCUCUCAGACUCGGUGGAUGACCAUCCAGGUACUUCUGACCAUGUUGCGUCACAGAACCGGUGUUACAG